rnacentral:rRNA from 1 species
GACUGCNNAACCCCCGAUGUUACCGAANNGGCAAAUAUUUAUAGCCUGAAGAAGAAGCUCGCGUCCGAUUAGCUANUGGGAGAGGUAAAAGCUCACCAAGGCGACGAUCGGUAGCNGGUCUGAGAGGACGAUCAGCCACACUGGGACUGAGACACGGCCCAGACUCCUACGGGAGGCAGCAGUGGGGAAUUUUCCGCAAUGGGCGAAAGCCUGACGGAGCAAGACCGCGUGGGGGAAGAAGGCUCUUGGGUUGUAAACCCCUUUUCUCUGGGAAGAAUGUUGUGACAGCACCNNGACAGUCCCAGACGAAUCAGCAUCGGCCAACUCCCUGCCAACAACCGAGGAAGGACGGAGGAUGCAAGCGUUAUGCGGAAAGAUUGGCCGUAAGGGGUCCGCAGGUGGCAGUNNNANUCAGCUGUCNUAAACCGCGGNUNNGCCUCGGAAAGGGAGUGGAUACUGAACGGCUGGAGUAUGGGAAGGUCCUGGGGAAUUCCUGGUGUGGCGGNAAANUGCGUAGAGNUCNNGAGGANNNCGUCGUUGGCGGGAACUUUNCUGCNGCA